rnacentral:rRNA from 1 species
UCAAAUGAAUUAAGGCGUAGGACGGAUACCUAGGCAUCUAGAGACGAAGAAGGGCGUGGAACCGACGAUACACUUCGGGGAGUUGGAAACAAGCAUAGAUCCGAAGAUUCCCGAAUAGGGCAACCUUUUAUACUUUUUGCUGAAUUCAUAGGCAAAAAAGAGACAACUCAGUGAACUGAAACAUCUUAUUAACUGAAGGAAUAGAAAGCAAACGCGAUUUCCUAAGUAGUGGCGAGCGAAAGGGAAACAGCCUAAACCAAUUUUUAGAAAUUGGGGUUGUGGGAAAACCUAAUAAUAUUAUUAUUUUAUAAUAUGAAAAAAAAAUGGUUAUUUUUUUAAAUUAGACCAAGCAGCUGAAUACUGCGCCAUAGAUGGUGAAAGCCCAGUAGUUAAAAAUUUAAUAAAAGCUAUGUGUUUUUCCCAAGUAAUACGGGACACGUGAAAUCCCGUAUGAAUCCGCGAGGACCACCUCGUAAGGCUAAAUACUCCUAGAUGACCGAUAGUGAAAUAGUACCGUGAGGGAAUGGUGAAAAGAACCCCUGUAGGGGAGUGAAAAAGAGCAUGAAAUCCUACGCUGACAAACAGUGGGAGGUUUUUUUAAACUGACCGCAUGCCUGUUGAAGAAUGAGCCGGCGACUUAGAAAAGGUGGCAUGGUUAAGGAAAUAUUCCGAAGCCGUAGCAAAAGCGAGUCUGAAUAGGGCGAUAAAAUAUAUUAAUAUUUAGAAUCUAGUCAUUUUUUCUAGACCCGAACCCGGGUGAUCUAACCAUGACCAGGAUGAAGCUUGGGUGAUACCAAGUGAAGGUCCGAACCGACCGAUGUUGAAAAAUCGGCGGAUGAGUUGUGGUUAGCGGUGAAAUACCAGUCGAACCCGGAGCUAGCUGGUUCUCCCCGAAAUGCGUUGAGGCGCAGCAGUACAUCUAGUCUAUCUAGGGGUAAAGCACUGUUUCGGUGCGGGCUGUGAGAACGGUACCAAAUCGUGGCAAACUCUGAAUACUAGAAAUGACGAUGUAGUAGUGAGACUGUGGGGGAUAAGCUCCAUUGUCAAGAGGGAAACAGCCCAGACCACCAGCUAAGGCCCCAAAAUGGUAAUGUAGUGACAAAGGAGGUGAAAAUGCAAAUACAACCAGGAGGUUGGCUUAGAAGCAGCCAUCCUUUAAAGAGUGCGUAAUAGCUCACUGGUGCUAGCGUUUUUGCGCCGAAAAUGUCCGGGACUUAAUUACCUGCCGAAGCUGUGGGAUAUUAAUAAAAUUAUUAUAUAUUUAAUUUUUAAUAUAUAUCUAUUGAUAAUUUAUAUCGGUAGGGGAGCGUUCUGCUUUAGGGUGAAGUUUAAGUGUAAAUUUAGAUGGACCAAGCAGAAGUGAGAAUGUCGGCUUGAGUAACGCAAACAUUGGUGAGAAUUCCAAUGCCCGUUAACCUAAGGAUUCCUUUACUAGGUUCGUCCAUGAAGGGUGAGUCAGGACCUAAGGCGAGCCGAAAGGCGUAGUCGAUGGCAAACAGUUAAUAUUCCUGUACUAUUUUAUAUUUGAUACCAGGGGACAGAAGAGGUAGCAAUUUGUCGAUAUUGGAUUUCGGUGUAAACUUACAAGUCCGGGGAAAGAAUAAAAACUUAUUCCUAUAUAAAGCUAAGAAGUGAUACAUUUAUAUUUUUUCUAAAAAAUAUAAAUUAAUUUUCUAUCAUAUUCUCAAGAAAAGCCUGUAUUAUCUAUAAAUAUAAAAUACCUGUACCAUAAACCGACACAGGUGGGUAGGUAGAGUAUACUAAGGGGCGCGAGAUAACUCUCUCUAAGGAACUCGGCUAAAUGACCCCGUAACUUCGGAAGAAGGGGUGCCAAGGAGUAAUUUUUUACUUUUUGGCCGCAGUGACCAGGCCCAGGCGACUGUUUAUCAAAAACACAGGUCUCCGCAAAGUCGUAAGACAACAUAUGGGGCUGACGCCUGCCCAGUGCCGGAAGGUUAAAGAAGCGGGUUAUUCUUUUUUAGGAAAAAGCUUGCGACUGAAGCCCCGGUGAACGGCGGCCGUAACUAUAACGGUCCUAAGGUAGCGAAAUUCCUUGUCGGAUAAGUCCCGACCCGCACGAAAGGCGUAACGAUCUGGGCGCUGUCUCGGAGAGAGACUCGGUGAAAUAGACAUGUCUGUGAAGAUGCGGACUACCUGCACCUGGACAGAAAGACCCUAUGAAGCUUGACUGUAGCCUGAAAUUGAAUUUGGGUUUUUUUUGCGCAGUCUAGGUGGGAGGCGUUGAAAAUUUUCUUUUGGGAAAAUUAGAGCCAACAGUGAGAGACCACUCUAGAAAAGCUAGAAUUC